rnacentral:tRNA from 1 species
GCCGAAGUGGUGGAAUUGGUAGACACGCUAUCUUGAGGGGGUAGUGACCGUAUGGUCGUGCGAGUUCAAGUCUCGCCUUCGGCA